rnacentral:lncRNA from 1 species
GAGCUGGCUGCAACCAGCCACGACUCACUGGUCAUCAAACCAGGAGCAGCAAAGGCCAGCCACUCUGUCUUGGAAGACAGCUAGCUGGGCUACAGAGGACCUCACUUCCAGGAGGGCACAUGCUAUCUGGCGGAGGAGCAGAGUCAGGGAUGGGAAAUCUGAGAGACCCAAAGAGGCAGAGGUCAACCUAAACAUCAAACAGCUCAGAGACUCUUAAAUAAAAGGAGAAGUCCCCUGCUCUCCCUGCCUGCACCACCCAGCAGACAGGGGCUCGCGAGACAGUAAGGACCAUAGAGAGGCCACCUUUCCCUCGUGUAGCGGGAGCUCCACAAUUUGAGAUUCGGUUCCACUGGCUUCAAGAAAAGUCAAAGUCAGCUACAUGUAUAAAUGGAAAUUUCUGGGUUUUGGGAAAAGUCGACAUCCUUGAUUUCAAGAGCAUAACAGUUCAUUCUUUAAUGAUGUUAUUUUGUGUUGUGGUA